AAUACGGUCCCCUAUAAGACCGAGGGGUGCAAUCAAAGGAAAGUAAAUAACCAAAGAAUCAUAUAUUACCAAAUAUCAAGCCAUAACCAUGAAUCUAUCCAUACUGUAUAAUAUCAUAAAUAAAUCUCAAUACCGGACUCUAAUUGAAACUCAAUAGCAUCAUCACCAUUUGCUGGACUUGAAUUAGAACUCAUGUUUAAAUAUCAUCAUUGAUUGUCAGACUUG
rnacentral:lncRNA from 1 species